rnacentral:rRNA from 1 species
AUUGAACGCUGGCGGCAUGCUUUACACAUGCAAGUCGGACGGCAGCGGGGAGUGCUUGCACUCUGCCGGCGAGUGGCGAACGGGUGAGUAAUGCAUCGGAACGUACCGAGUAAUGGGGGAUAACUGUCCGAAAGGACAGCUAAUACCGCAUACGCCCUGAGGGGGAAAGCGGGGGAUCUUAGGACCUCGCGUUAUUCGAGCGGCCGAUGUCUGAUUAGCUAGUUGGUGGGGUAAAGGCCUACCAAGGCGACGAUCAGUAGCGGGUCUGAGAGGACGAUCCGCCACACUGGGACUGAGACACGGCCCAGACUCCUACGGGAGGCAGCAGUGGGGAAUUUUGGACAAUGGGCGCAAGCCUGAUCCAGCCAUGCCGCGUGUCUGAAGAAGGCCUUCGGGUUGUAAAGGACUUUUGUCAGGGAAGAAAAGGAGUUGGUUAAUACCCGACUCUGAUGACG